AUUGAACGCUGGCGGCAUGCCUUACACAUGCAAGUCGAACGGCAGCACGGAGCUUGCUCUGGUGGCGAGUGGCGAACGGGUGAGUAAUAUAUCGGAACGUACCCUAGAGUGGGGGAUAACGUAGCGAAAGUUACGCUAAUACCGCAUACGAUCUAAGGAUGAAAGUGGGGGAUCGCAAGACCUCAUGCUCGUGGAGCGGCCGAUAUCUGAUUAGCUAGUUGGUAGGAUAAAAGCCUACCAAGGCAUCGAUCAGUAGCUGGUCUGAGAGGACGACCAGCCACACUGGAACUGAGACACGGUCCAGACUCCUACGGGAGGCAGCAGUGGGGAAUUUUGGACAAUGGGCGAAAGCCUGAUCCAGCAAUGCCGCGUGAGUGAAGAAGGCCUUCGGGUUGUAAAGCUCUUUUGUCAGGGAAGAAACGGUGAGAGCUAAUAUCUCUUGCUAAUGACGGUACCUGAAGAAUAAGCACCGGCUAACUACGUGCCAGCAGCCGCGGUAAUACGUAGGGUGCAAGCGUUAAUCGGAAUUACUGGGCGUAAAGCGUGCGCAGGCGGUUUUGUAAGUCUGAUGUGAAAUCCCCGGGCUCAACCUGGGAAUUGCAUUGGAGACUGCAAGGCUAGAAUCUGGCAGAGGGGGGUAGAAUUCCACGUGUAGCAGUGAAAUGCGUAGAUAUGUGGAGGAACACCGAUGGCGAAGGCAGCCCCCUGGGUCAAGAUUGACGCUCAUGCACGAAAGCGUGGGGAGCAAACAGGAUUAGAUACCCUGGUAGUCCACGCCCUAAACGAUGUCUACUAGUUGUCGGGUCUUAAUUGACUUGGUAACGCAGCUAACGCGUGAAGUAGACCGCCUGGGGAGUACGGUCGCAAGAUUAAAACUCAAAGGAAUUGACGGGGACCCGCACAAGCGGUGGAUGAUGUGGAUUAAUUCGAUGCAACGCGAAAAACCUUACCUACCCUUGACAUGGCUGGAAUCCCCGAGAGAUUGGGGAGUGCUCGAAAGAGAACCAGUACACAGGUGCUGCAUGGCUGUCGUCAGCUCGUGUCGUGAGAUGUUGGGUUAAGUCCCGCAACGAGCGCAACCCUUGUCAUUAGUUGCUACGAAAGGGCACUCUAAUGAGACUGCCGGUGACAAACCGGAGGAAGGUGGGGAUGACGUCAAGUCCUCAUGGCCCUUAUGGGUAGGGCUUCACACGUCAUACAAUGGUACAUACAGAGCGCCGCCAACCCGCGAGGGGGAGCUAAUCGCAGAAAGUGUAUCGUAGUCCGGAUUGUAGUCUGCAACUCGACUGCAUGAAGUUGAAAUCGCUAGUAAUCGCGGAUCAGCAUGUCGCGGUGAAUACGUUCCCGGGUCU
rnacentral:rRNA from 1 species